UACGGGGGGAGCAAGCGUUGUUCGGAUUUACUGGGCGUAAAGGGCGCGUAGGCGGAUGUUUAAGUCGGGGGUGAAAGCCCGGGGCUCAACCUCGGAAUUGCCUUCGAUACUGGACAUCUUGAGUACGGGAGAGGUGAGUGGAACUCCGAGUGUAGAGGUGAAAUUCGUAGAUAUUCGGAAGAACACCAGUGGCGAAGGCGACUCACUGGCCCGUUACUGACGCUGAGGCGCGAAAGCGUGGGGAGCAAACAGG
rnacentral:rRNA from 1 species